rnacentral:lncRNA from 1 species
UCUUAGAUAAAUCAUCCACAUUAUAUUUCAAUCUUUCAAAUCUAUCACAUGGAUUAUCAGGACUUAGAUUUUAUUUAAUUAAAUAUACUGAUGCAUUAACUUCUACUUAUUCAGAGGGGUCAGUUCUAUCUUGACUCACGCACCGACUUGAUAAAUACUUGACUUCAUUCAGAAACCUUCCAUCACUGAAUUAAAAAUUCAGAUAGUCCGGCACCAAAGUAUAGUGAGUUGCUGGUAAGUCACGUGAUGAUCUCA